rnacentral:rRNA from 1 species
UACGGAGGGAGCAAGCGUUACUCGGAAUUAUUGGGCGUAAAGGGCGCGUAGGCGAUUCAGUAAGUCUUAUGUGAAAGCCCAGAGCUUAACUCUGGAAGUGCACGAGAUACUGCUGAAAUUGAGUUCCGGAGAGGAAGGCAGAAUUCCCGGUGUAGCGGUGAAAUGCGUAGAUAUCGGGAGGAGUACCAGUGGCGAAGGCGGCCUCUGGACGGAUACUGACGCUGAGGGCGCGAAAGCCAGGGGGAGGCAAACGGG